rnacentral:rRNA from 1 species
UACGAAGGGGGCUAGCGUUGCUCGGAAUUAUUGGGCGUAAAGAGCGUGUAGGCGGCCCGAUUAGUCCGCUGUGAAAGUCCAGGGCUCAACCCUGGAAUGCCGGUGGAUACUGUCGGGCUAGAGUCCGGAAGGGGCGAGUGGAAUUCCUGGUGUAGCGGUGAAAUGCGCAGAUAUCAGGAGGAACACCAAUGGCGAAGGCAGCUCGCUGGGACGUGACUGACGCUGAGGCACGAAAGCGUGGGUAGCAAACAGG